rnacentral:lncRNA from 1 species
UUUAGUAGAACCUGGGUUUUACCAUGUUGGUCAGGCUGGUCUUGAACUCCUGACCUCAAGUGAUCCACAUGCCUCAGCCUCCCAAAGUGCUGGGAUUGCAAUGAGCCAUCACCCCUGACCUACGCAUUUAUUAAGAAGGAAAAAAUGUAUAUUCUCAUAAUGCCUUGAAUUCUUUAGUUACUUGGGAAUUACUUGAAAAUGUAUUAGGUAUAACUGUUUCAAAAGAUAUGAUUUUUCAUAUACCUUAGAAAACAAUAGAUAUUUCUUCAGCUGUCUAAUUGUGGGUGUGCAUUUAAAAUGUGUAUUGUGAUUCCAAAAUUUUCUCUACCUAGGAGGGAAAUACAACACAUGGGAUUAUUAUUGCUGAUGACACCAGAUAAUAUUUUGCCUAAACUCCUAAGUUGAAUGAGAGAGAGAUCCAAGAUGGCUGAUCACUAACAGCUCAGGAUUGUAGCUCCCAGUGAAAGCUCAGAGAACG